UGGAAGAAAAAUAGAAGAAAAACCUGCUUUUGCUGAUUUAUGCUAUUUUCAAACUGCUUUAAUUUCUUUAUUUAAUGAAAUUUGAUAAUCAUUUGUUUUACUUCAUAUUAAUUCUCUGUUAUUGUUAUUUAAUUGUAUGAGCAAAUAAAAAUUUAAAUUUAAAAAUCAUUUUAUGCUGUACCUAUAUACUCUGCUUCAUUAAGCAAAAAUAGUUAAAUUUAUGCACACAAAGCAGGAGAAGGUCACUUGUAAGCUAUCAUUAGUCGUCAUAAAAACUCAUUUUUCCAAAUUUUUGUAACGACGCUUCACUGCCAAGAAAGUUUUCAUACCGUUUUAAUAAUUAAUAAAUGAUUUUUUCCUGCUUUAAGAGUUUGUAUGGAUUUUAUUUAAAUAACUGUUUUUUUUUUUUUUAUUUCCUAUAAUGUAUUUUUUAUUUUUCAAGAAGCAUUAUUGUUAUUUUAAAUGAAGAAAAUAUGCCAUUUAAAUUACUAUAUUUUCAUUAUUUUGAUCACUAUAUUCAGUAGGGAUAUUCAAAUUAGUCAACAGUCUGUUCGCUUAAAUUUGAUGUCGGGGGAAUCGAGAGAAUUCUAUCUGGUCAAAAAGGCUCUUAAAAUAACUGAUUGUUUUAUAAAACAUUGUACCGGUUACUGGUUAACGCGCUAUUAUGAAAGAUGUACGCUUGAAUUAUACUAGCAUGUAUUAAAGGACACACUACCAGUUCAAGUUAUUCGACAGAUUUAUUAUAUCAUUAAAGAAAAAAUCGUCGAAAUAAUUUAAACAUUCG
rnacentral:lncRNA from 1 species